rnacentral:miRNA from 12 species
ACCCGACCGGAUGAGCAAACUG